AGGUUCAAAAGAUGAGGCAUGCUUUGGAUGUGCAGUGAUUGUAGACAGCCCCCCUUGUGGAACCAUUUGCAUCCACAUAUGGAGCUAAGUCUUUGUCAAGGUGCAAUGGAUGCCUACAAUAAAUGGAAAGCAGUUCUACAGAAGGGGCAGUAAUGGCUGCUUGAUCCAGCAGUGGCUUCUGUCUGGCCCAGGAACACAGCAGGUCGAAGAAUUUAUCAUCUCUGUGAUUUAUAAUCCAGCUUCUGGAUGAAGUGGGGCUCCUAUGGUCAGUGCACAUGGGACUAGCACGCAGAAGGAUUUCCUGGAGUCUUCAACCAAGAUCAGUUUGGAAUUUAGACCCACUACUGUUAUAUCAGGGUGAGUGGAGGCAGGCUGCAGUAAAGGUUGUGCCCAUUUCCUCGUGAAUCACCUGCUGAGAUGGCCUGCUGGUCAAGAGAGCUCUUGUUGCAUAUUGGUUACUUCCCAUACUCUCCGAAGUUGAUGCUGAAGGGAUUUCUUGUGGCUUCAACUAUUUGUUGUGCUGCUUUUGGAGUAAUACCACCCAAUUUACUCUAAUUUUCUGCCCUUCAUUCUUCAGCAUGGAGGUGAUCAGAGAGAAUAAACAUCUAAGACAUCUUGUUUCUUAGUUUUCAGAACUGUAAUUUGUUGCUCUGCCAGCUGCUGAAAAUGGAAACUGUAAUA